rnacentral:rRNA from 1 species
AGGACGAACGCUGGCGGCGUGCUUAACACAUGCAAGUCGAGCGGAAAGGCCCUUCGGGGUACUCGAGCGGCGAACGGGUGAGUAACACGUGAGCAACCUGCCCCUGGCUCUGGGAUAGCCUCCGGAAACGGGGAUUAAUACCGGACAUUCUCCUUCUUCCGCAUGGUUGAGGGUGGAAAGUUUUUUCGGCCGGGGAGGGGCUCGCGGCCUAUCAGCUUGUUGGCGGGGUAACGGCCCACCAAGGCGACGACGGGUAGCC